AGUGAACGCUGGCGGUAGGCCUAACACAUGCAAGUCGAACGGCAGCACAGGAGAGCUUGCUCUCUGGGUGGCGAGUGGCGGACGGGUGAGGAAUACAUCGGAAUCUACCUUUUCGUGGGGGAUAUCGUAGGGAAACUUACGCUAAUACCGCAUACGACCUACGGGUGAAAGUGGGGGACCGCAAGGCCUCACGCGAUUAGAUGAGCCGAUGUCCGAUUAGCUAGUUGGCGGGGUAACGGCCCACCAAGGCGACGAUCGGUAGCUGGUCUGAGAGGAUGAUCAGCCACACUGGAACUGAGACACGGUCCAGACUCCUACGGGAGGCAGCAGUGGGGAAUAUUGGACAAUGGGCGCAAGCCUGAUUCAGCCAUACCGCGUGGGUGAAGAAGGCCUUCGGGUUGUAAAGCCCUUUUGUUGGGAAAGAAAUCCUGUCGAUUAAUACUCGGUGGGGAUGACGGUACCCAAAGAAUAAGCACCGGCUAACUUCGUGCCAGCCGCCGCGGUAAGAC
rnacentral:rRNA from 1 species